UAGCUUAAAGCCUUCCUCGACAAAUGAACUAUCCAACAUAAAAAUAAUUUUUCAAUUCAAUUCAAUAGCGCGUUCUAACAAACAAAUUCUUCAGCGUUAUAAUAUUGAAAAAUAUUAAUAUAUAUAUAUAUAUAUAGAUAUGCAUUUCCUUGGUUACGGUUUAUCGUAUAAAACAGAUGCAUCCGUCAGAAUUCCACAGUACAAACUCGCAGUUCUGUAAGUCAAAAAUAUAAAAGAGCAAGUCAGCCUAACGAGCAACGCGAAGCGCGGAAUGAAAUUGAACAAUUAAUCGAUGGAAUAGAAAUCAACGACAUAUUAAUGUUGCGUUUAACCCUUAUCGAGCUGCAUUCAAUUAUAACGUGGAAAUCGACAGUUUACAUGAAAUCGUUGCUAUUGAAACAAUGAACUUUAUGUGCCAAUAUUGUAAGGCAUUUAAGUUUAAAAAUGAAGCUACUGGAUUGUGUUUUGCGAGCGGUAAAGUCAAAUUGACGCCAAUGGCCAUUGGUCACGCCAGCAAUGCGUGUCUAUAGUCUAGACUGAGCGGUUGAUUGAGAAAGCCAUUACUUCCAGACAGUCUUUGAUUUACAAAAAUUAUAUACUAUAAUAUAUAAUUAAACUAACUAA